rnacentral:rRNA from 1 species
AUUGAACGCUGGCGGCAGGCUUAACACAUGCAAGUCGAGCGGGGGAAGGUAGCUUGCUACCGGACCUAGCGGCGGACGGGUGAGUAAUGCUUAGGAAUCUGCCUAUUAGUGGGGGACAACAUCUCGAAAGGGAUGCUAAUACCGCAUACGUCCUACGGGAGAAAGCAGGGGAUCUUCGGACCUUGCGCUAAUAGAUGAGCCUAUGUCGGAUUAGCUAGUUGGUGGGGUAAAGGCCUACCAAGGCGACGAUCUGUAGCGGGUCUGAGAGGAUGAUCCGCCACACUGGGACUGAGACACGGCCCAGACUCCUACGGGAGGCAGCAGUGGGGAAUAUUGGACAAUGGGGGGAACCCUGAUCCAGCCAUGCCGCGUGUGUGAAGAAGGCCUUAUGGUUGUAAAGCACUUUAAGCGAGGAGGAGGCUACUCUAGUUAAUACCUAGGGAUAGUGGACGUUACUCGCAGAAUAAGCACCGGCUAACUACGUGCCAGCAGCCGCGGUAA